GAUGAACGCUGGCGGCGUGCCUAAUACAUGCAAGUCGAGCGAACAGACGAGGAGCUUGCUCCUUCGACGUUAGCGGCGGACGGGUGAGUAACACGUAGGUAACCUACCUAUAAGACUGGGAUAACUUCGGGAAACCGGAGCUAAUACCGGAUAAUAUUUCGAACCGCAUGGUUCGAUAGUGAAAGAUGGCUUUGCUAUCACUUAUAGAUGGACCUGCGCCGUAUUAGCUAGUUGGUAAGGUAACGGCUUACCAAGGCAACGAUACGUAGCCGACCUGAGAGGGUGAUCGGCCACACGGGAACGGCGACAGGGUCCAGCCCCCCGGGGGAGGCAGAAGGGGGGAAUCUUCCGAAAGGGGCGAAAGCCGGACGGAGCAACGCCGGGGGAGUGAUAAAGGUCUCCGUAGCGUAAAACUUUGUUAUUGGGGAAAAACAAACGUGUAAGUAACUGUGCCCGUCUGGACGGUACCUAAUCAGAAAGCCACGGCAAACUACGGG
rnacentral:rRNA from 1 species